UGAGGAAUUUUGCACAAUGGGGGAAACCCUGAUGCAGCAACGCCGCGUGAGUGAUGAAGGUUUUCGGAUCGUAAAGCUCUAUCUUUGGGGAAGAUAAUGACGGUACCCAAGGAGGAAGCCACGGCUAACUACGUGCCAGCAGCCGCGGUAAUACGUAGGUGGCGAGCGUUAUCCGGAUUUACUGGGCGUAAAGGGAGCGUAGGCGGAUGAUUAAGUGGGAUGUGAAAUACCCGGGCUCAACUUGGGUGCUGCAUUCCAAACUGGAAGUCUAGAGUGCAGGAGAGGAGAAUGGAAUUCCUAGUGUAGCGGUGAAAUGCGUAGAGAUUAGGAAGAACACCAGUGGCGAAGGCGAUUCUCUGGACUGUAACUGACGCUGAGGCUCGAAAGCGUGGGGAGCAAACA
rnacentral:rRNA from 1 species